CCUACGGGCGGCAGCAGUGGGGAAUCUUGCACAAUGGGGGAAACCCUGAUGCAGCGACGCCGCGUGAAGGACGAAGUAUUUCGGUAUGUAAACUUCUAUCAGUAGGGACGAAAAUGACGGUACCUGACUAAGACGCCCCGGCUAACUACGUGACAGCAGCCGCGGGAAUACGUCGGGGGCAAGCGUUAUCUGGAUUUACUGGGCGUAAAGGGAGCGUAGGCGGUGGAGGAAGUCAGAAGUGAAAGCCCUGGGCUCAACUCCGGGACUGCUUUUGAAACUGUUGAACUAGAGUGCAGGAGCGGUAAGUGGAAGGUCUAGUGUAGCGGUGAAAUGCGUAGAUAUGAGGAAGAACACCAGUGGCGAAGGCAGCUUACUGGACUAUAAAUGACGCUGAGGCUCGAAAGCGUGGGGAGCAAACAGGAUUAGAUACCCUAGUAGUC
rnacentral:rRNA from 1 species